rnacentral:rRNA from 1 species
CCUACGGGGGGCAGCAGUAGGGAAUCUUUCACAAUGGGCGAAAGCCUGAUGGAGCAACGCCGCGUGAAGGAUGAAGGCCCUCGGGUUGUAAACUGCUUUCAUCAGCGAGAAAUAUGAUGGUAACUUAUGAAUAAGGAUCGGCUAACUACGUGCCAGCAGCCGCGGUCAUACGUAGGAGGCGAGCAUUAUCCGGAGUGACUGGGUGUAAAGAGUUGCGUAGGUGGCAUAAUAAGUAGCUAGUGAAAUCCGGUGGCUCAACCAUUCAGACUAUUAGCUAAACUGUUAAGCUAGAGAGCGUUAGGGGUAAGUGGAAUUUCUAGUGUAGGAGUGAAAUGCGUAGAUAUUAGAAGGAACACCAAUAGCGUAGGCAGCUUGCUGGGACGGUUCUGACACUAAGGCACGAAAGCGUAGGGGGCAAACGGGAUUAGAUACCCCUGUAGUC